rnacentral:rRNA from 1 species
UACAGAGGCCCCAAGCGUUACUGAGAAUCACUGGGUUUAAAGGGUGCGUAGGUGGCGCGUUAAGUUCGUUGUGAAAUCCCUGGGCUCAACCCAGGAAUUGCUUCGAAUACUGGCGUGCUUGAGGCUAGUAGGGGUCACUGGAACUGACGGUGGAGCGGUGAAAUGCGUUGAGAUCGGAAGGAACGCCCGUGGCGAAAGCGAGCUCCUGGACGUCUUCUGACGCUGAGACGCGAAAGCCAGGGGAGCGAACGGG